CCAUGCCCACGGCAGGCAAGCUGCAGCUUCCCCUCCUCCCCACCCGAGGUGGUCAGGAAAGAGACAGACCAGGACCUGGAGGACCCAGGGGCCUCCGCCCUCACUCACUUCCUCCCCAGAGACCGGAGGGGGCGGGAGGACAGCACACCAGGCCGAUGUCCAGCCUCAGAACUUCUGGAACUGCUUCUUGGUGCCGGCAGCCUUGGUGACCUUGAGCACGUUGAAGCGCACUGUCUUGCUCAGGGGCCGACACUCGCCCACUGUGACGAUAUCACCGAUCUGGACGUCCCUGUGGAGGCAGACUUUGUGCCAAGUAUCAAGUUCUACGCUGUACACAGAGCAGGUGACCACCCUUCUGAGGACCGCUGGGGUGGACGAGCUCCAUUCCACGACCAAACUGGAGGCCCCCAGGUUGUCAGUGGCCUCCUCACCACCCAAUUCCAGCAGAGCAGCAGGGGGAUCCUGUAGCACCCACGACCACAGGCCCCUUAUCGCUCAGCAUGAGUUCGAGCCACCCUCCUCCCUGC